UACGUAGGGGGCAAGCGUUGUCCGGAAUCAUUGGGCGUAAAGCGCGUGUAGGCGGCUCGGUAAGUCCGCUCUGAAAGUCCAGGGCUCAACCCUGGGAUGCGGGUGGAUACUGCCGGGCUCGAGUCCGGAAGAGGAGAGUGGAAUUCCCGGUGUAGCGGUGAAAUGCGCAGAUAUCGGGAAGAACACCCGUGGCGAAGGCGGCUCUCUGGGACGGUACUGACGCUGAGACGCGAAAGCGUGGGGAGCGAACAGGAUUAGAACUACCGUGGUC
rnacentral:rRNA from 1 species